UACCGAGGGGGCAAGCGUUGUUCGGAAUUACUGGGCGUAAAGGGCGCGUAGGCGGCCUUCUAAGUCGAACGUGAAAUCCCUGGGCUCAACCCAGGAACUGCGUCCGAUACUGGAAGGCUUGAAUCCGGGAGAGGGAUGCGGAAUUCCAGGUGUAGCGGUGAAAUGCGUAGAUAUCUGGAGGAACACCGGUGGCGAAGGCGGCAUCCUGGACCGGUAUUGACGCUGAGGCGCGAAAGCCAGGGGAGCAAACGGG
rnacentral:rRNA from 1 species